UCCAGGGGGUGACCAGAAGGGCUCCGUAAUAUAACAAUCUCUGUUGCAACAUAAUACUUUUUUUCUGAACAGUUAACCUUGCACAUGAUAUUUAAAUAGUAAUGUUUAAUUUUUCUUUCUUUUGCUCUUUUGAAAACAUUUAACUGCUUUAGCUAAACCUCAGCCAAAUUCCUGGUUUUGCUGGGCAACAGCACCUAUUUCAUACAAUUUUGUUAUAGCGAACCCAAAGGCUCUUUUCAGAGCCAUCCACAUUGCGUCACUGAUUGGACAUCUAAUUCAUCUUUCAGCUUGCCUCUUAAAAACUGCCAGGAAACCCAAAAAAUCACCGAUUCAACUAAAAAAACAAAGCCUACAAUUUCUACCCAAAAAAAACGACCCAAUUUUUUACCCCACCCAACCAAUCUGUUGCCCUAACCCCCAUACACCGACUUUCCCCAAAACAGAACGUCCCUUUAACUUUUUGCUUUGACAGAAAAAGUGAGAACAGAACUACCUACAGCUCCAGUGUGCCCUGCUGCCUUGAGUGUCUUCACAAAGCAACGUUGAUUAGAGGACUGCGUUGGGAAAUCAACACCAUCAACACACACAAUAAUUUACUAUAGUUUUAAAAUUACAUAAUUUCCUAUAGUCUUUUAGACUGCUUAUAAUAGAUAAUACACAUUACAGUACUUUUAAAAGUCAUUAAUAUAUCAGUAAAAAAAAAAUUGUUUUUGAAGUUCAUCUUUGAAACGUAUUACAUUUAUAUCUGAGUCUUUUCACAUUUGCUUAUACUCUACUAAUUAAUUGCAUUAGUUAUAUUGCCUUUGGUUAUCAUUUCUGUACAAUAUUGGGGUUAACAGUUCAACAGUUCCAUUGCUAUAGUCUUGUGUGUUUGUAUAUCUAAUUUCUUGACUGUUUUAACGGUGAAAUUUUAGUACAGUACUUUAAUAUAUCAGUAAAAUAUUCUAAGUUUGACUGUUGUUGUAACUGCUAUUUGAAUAGACUACAUUUAAAGGUCAUUAAAAUAUUUUGGUUUGCCAAGUUCCUCUUUGAAUCUUACCACAUUGUAACAUUUACCUUUAUUAAUUGGUUGCAUUUCUGAUAUUGCUUUUGGUUAACAUUUUUGUACAAUAUUGGGGUUGACAGUGUUUGACAGUAUAACAGUUCAAUUGCUAUAGUUUUGUGUGUUUGUAUAUUUAAUUUGUUGACUUGUUACUAAAAUUUCAGUCCUGUACUUUAAAAGCUAAUUAAUAUAUCAGUAUUAUAUUUACAGUUUGACUCUUGUUGUAAUUGUUAUUUGAGUGCAGUACAUUUAAAGGUAAUUAAAAUAUCAGUAAAGUAUUUUGGUUUGGCAAGUUCAUAUUUGAAUCUUACCACGUUGUAACAUUUGCCUUUACUAAUUGGUUGCAUUACUGGCAUUGCCUUUAGUUAACAUUUUAUAAUUCAGUGAAAUACAAAGGCUUGACGGUAUAACAGUUACAUUGUGUGUAUGUAAAUACAGUAGGUUGACACUUGUUACCGUGGUAUACUAGCAUAACGUAUAAUAAGCAUUAAUAUUCAUUGAGUGGGUCUUUGUAUUUGUUAUUAAGGUUUUAUCCGGAAAAUUUGCACUUGUUUAACAUACGAAAGGUACUUUGCUAUAAACAGAUCUUUAGAUUUCUAACACCUGUUCCAUCGUCAUGCCACGUAAAGGUAAACGAAGUGAAGCCCAGAAGCAGCGCAGAAAGGUAGAAGCUUCACUGUGCAUUAACUCCGUGUCAAGUGCGAGUGACGUAAGCCCAGACGUGCUCUCUGUUACGGCGUCCCACUGUCAAAGUGACCCGAGGUACGGUAUUUAUUCGAGGGGGCAACAAUGCACGUGCAAUUCCUUAAUGUUUCUCGCGGUGCACAACGAACGUAAUGAGCUGACCAGUUUGGAAUUAGAUGACAUUUUAAAGAAAGGUGAUGCUUUGUACACUCUUGUCAAGCAAACACUACAGAGUAAAGGACAAUUUCGGAGUAAUUUCCUUGAUUUUGAUGAGCUACCGGAUAAACUUGAGACAAACUUGUGCUCUUACAACAUCAUUAAACAUGGCCAGAAGUUUGGAUUACUAAGAGAUGCACCUGCACUAGGCAGCUAUGACAACCUCGAGAAUACUCUGCAAUGUUUCAGAAGUGAAAUCAGCAACUGCCUGUUUUUGUGUGGACUUUAUUGUGUUGCUUUGUUUAGAGAUCGCUCAGGGAGGUUUGGAUUUUUUGAUUCACACUGCAGAACACCAGAUGGCAUGUCUACUAAUGAUGGCACGGGUACUGCUGUAAUGUUGACAUUUUCACGUUUAGAAGACAUGAUAGAGAGACUGUUGCUGUUGUUUCAAGGGUGUUUCCAGUUAAGCGAUAACGUGCAAUUUGAUCUGCUGCCAGUAUCAUUCACAAGCACAACAGUAUGUACUGAUGUCUCCAUGGAGUAUCUUGAUAACAUAGAGCCGUGUGUAGCAUCUCAAUUUCUGUCCACUAAUGACCAAUGUGCAUCGUCACAACAGCAAAUUCAGGUCCGAAAUCCAGUUCAGUGUCCAGUCAACAUAACAGAUGAAGAUGAAAUGGAGAUUCAAACUACUGUAACUGACAAUUUGGACAGAGACAAAAAUGUUCAAUUAAAUAAACUUUCUCAUAACAUCUCAAAAGAUUCCUCAAUUCAAAUUAUAUUGUCAGAUCCAAAUGAUCACUGUUUGGAAACAUCCGACUUAAAUCAACAAUCAAAAAAGCUUAACAAAUCCAGAAGGCGCAAGGAUUACAAGAUAAAAUGGCACAAAAAAAUGAAUUUAAACAAAAAAGCCAUGAUAAACAACUAUAAAAAAUCUGAAGAAUAUAAGAAUAAAAAAAGAAUUUAUGCU